CCUACGGGUGGCUGCAGUCGAGAAUUUUUCUCAAUGGGGGAAACCCUGAAGGAGCGACGCCGCGUGGGGGAUGAAUGGCUUCGGCCCGUAAACCCCUGUCAUUUGCGAACAAACCUUACGUUUUAAUAGAGCGUGAGCUGAUUGUAGCGAAAGAGGAAGGGACGGCUAACUCUGUGCCAGCAGCCGCGGUAAUACAGAGGUCCCAAGCGUUGUUCGGAUUCACUGGGCGUAAAGGGUGCGUAGGUGGUCGGGUAAGUCUGAUGUGAAAGCUCUGGGCUCAACCCAGAAAUGGCAUUGGAUACUAUCUGGCUAGAGGAAUGGAGGGGGGACUGGAAUACUUGGUGUAGCAGUGAAAUGCGUAGAUAUCAAGUGGAACACCAGUGGCGAAGGCGAGUCCCUGGACAUUUCCUGACACUGAGGCACGAAAGCUAGGGGAGCAA
rnacentral:rRNA from 1 species